rnacentral:ribozyme from 1 species
GUGAGAAUAGAUGCAGCUGCCUCCUUACUGUGAGAAUCAGUGACAAACAUGUGGGGCUUAUAUCUAAUCGGGUCAGAUGACAGGAGAACAGUAGUUCAAAUGCCAUUUGAAGGUAGGUGGCGGAGAUUAGUAUUAGUGCAGACGUUAAAAUCAUG